UAAUGCAUCGGAACGUGCCCCGUAGCGGGGGAUAACCCGGCGAAAGCCGGACUAAUACCGCAUAUGCUCUACGGAGGAAAGCAGGGGACCUGAAAGGGCCUUGCACUAUGGGAGCGGCCGAUGUCCGAUUAGCUUGUUGGUGGGGUAAUGGCCUACCAAGGCGACGAUCGGUAGCUGGUCUGAGAGGAUGAUCAGCCACACUGGGACUGAGACACGGCCCAG
rnacentral:rRNA from 1 species